UACGUAGGGGGCAAGCGUUGUCCGGAAUCAUUGGGCGUAAAGAGCGUGUAGGCGGCUCGGUAAGUCCGCUGUGAAAGUCCAGGGCUCAACCCUGGAAUGCCGGUGGAAACUGGCGAGCUAGAGUCCGGAAGAGGCGAGUGGAAUUCCUGGUGUAGCGGUGAAAUGCGCAGAUAUCAGGAGGAACACCAAUGGCGAAGGCAGCUCGCUGGGACGGUACUGACGCUGAGACGCGAAAGCGUGGGGAGCAAACAGG
rnacentral:rRNA from 1 species